CCUACGGGUGGCUGCAGUCGAGAAUCUUCGGCAAUGGGCGCAAGCCUGACCGAGCGACGCCGCGUGUGGGAUGAAGGCCUUCGGGUUGUAAACCACUGUCAGAGGGGAUGAAAUGCAGGUGGGUUCUCCCAUCUGUUUGACAUAGCCUCAGAGGAAGGACGGGCUAAGUUCGUGCCAGCAGCCGCGGUAAGACGAACCGUCCAAACGUUAUUCGGAAUCACUGGGCUUAAAGGGUGCGUAGGCGGCGCGGCAAGUUGGGUGUGAAAUCCCUCGGCUCAACCGAGGAACUGCGCCCAAAACUGCCGUGCUCGAGGGAGAUAGAGGUGAGCGGAACUUAGGGUGGAGCGGUGAAAUGCGUUGAUAUCCUAAGGAACACCGGUGGCGAAAGCGGCUCACUGGAUCUCUUCUGACGCUGAGGCACGAAAGCUAGGGUAGCGAACGGGAUUAGAUACCCCAGUAGUC
rnacentral:misc_RNA from 1 species